UACAGAGGGGGCAAGCGUUGUUCGGAAUUACUGGGCGUAAAGGGCGCGUAGGCGGCCUUCUAAGUCAGACGUGAAAUCCCUCGGCUCAACCGGGGAACUGCGUCUGAGACUGGAGGGCUUGAAUCCGGGAGAGGGAUGUGGAAUUCCAGGUGUAGCGGUGAAAUGCGUAGAUAUCUGGAGGAACACCGGUGGCGAAGGCGGCAUCCUGGACCGGUAUUGACGCUGAUGAGCGAAAGCUAGGGGAGCAAACGGG
rnacentral:rRNA from 1 species